UGUAUGUUGUGGCGGUUAAGGAGAAAAACAAGGGAGAAUACGCAGAUGGCCCCUGGUUUUAUGAAGACGACACAGUGCGUUAAGGAAAAUAAAAAAAAGACAUUAGCGUUUCAACAUAGUAUAGCUUCAACAGUAUGAGUUAGAACUGUAAAUGCCGGUUAAUUAUAUUACGACUAACAUUGUGUUGGUUUAAAUGGAAUUAAUUACCAGCUGCGAUUGAAGCAAGUCAAGUCUGAGCUUGCGUGACGGUCUGACUAGGAUAAUUCCAGUUUGCUGGGGCAUACUCCAAAGAGGCAUUUGUGUGCUGAAAGGCAUCGGACUGAAGUUUUCCUGCAACCUGCCAGGGCAAUUUUUUGUUUUCUUCCGGAACGCUGUGCCGUUUGUCUGCUCCUAUCCACAACAUCUACAAAGGAAAUUUAACUUACUGUUCAUCGGAUCGUGGAGGAUAUCAGCCAUAUUUGUACACGUCUACAAUCGGACUCCAUUUUAACAGUUUGUCACAUUAUUGGAGAUGGUAAAUAAGGACUGAUUUCAUUCCAAAAUAUUAUACAAACAUAUAUUUUGACACAUGUUUGUGUUGGACUGAGCUGAAUGAUAUACAGUAGUUUUCAUUGUGGGAUUACUGAAGUUUGGUUACAAGUUUCAAUUAAGAACAUAUUUUGUUUAUGCUGUUUUUAUUUUAUUUCGUAUUAUUUGUGAAACCUACUGAUACUGGAUUUAUUGAAUUGAAAACUGUAAUGUUGUAUAGACGAUGUUGUACCUUGUUUGCUGCAUAUGAAUCACUGUGUGCAUUGAAUUAAGUGCACUGCAUAAAACAAUUGGUACCACUGCA